GACGAACCGUGCGAACGUUAUUCGGAAUCACUGGGCUUAAAGCGCGUGUAGGCGGGCCGGCACGUCGGGUGCUGAAAGCCCCCGGCUCAACCGGGGAAGCGGCCUCGAUACGACCGGCCUGGAGGGGGGUAGGGGGAGCCGGAACUUCCGGUGGAGCGGUGAAAUGCGUUGAGAUCGGAAGGAACGCCCGUGGCGAAAGCGGGCUCCUGGACCCCACCUGACGCUGAGACGCGAAAGCCAGGGGAGCGAACGGGAUUAGAUACCCCGGUAGUCCUGGCCGUAAACCAUGGGCACUGGGUAGGGGAUUCGCCGAUGGAUUCCCUGCCGCAGCGAAAGCGUGAAGUGCCCCGCCUGGGGAGUAUGGUCGCAAGGCUGAA
rnacentral:rRNA from 1 species